rnacentral:rRNA from 1 species
CCUACGGGAGGCAGCAGUGGGGAAUUUUCCGCAAUGGGCGAAAGCCUGACGGAGCAACGCCGCGUGAGGGAUGAAGGCCUCUGGGCUGUAAACCUCUUUUAUCAAGGAAGAAGAUCUGACGGUACUUGAUGAAUAAGCCACGGCUAAUUCCGUGCCAGCAGCCGCGGUAAUACGGGAGUGGCAAGCGUUAUCCGGAAUUAUUGGGCGUAAAGCGUCCGCAGGCGGUCUUGUAAGUCUGUCGUUAAAGCGUGGAGCUCAACUCCAUUUCGGCGGUGGAAACUACAAGACUAGAGUGUGGUAGGGGCAGAGGGAAUUCCCGGUGUAGCGGUGAAAUGCGUAGAUAUCGGGAAGAACACCAGUGGCGAAGGCGCUCUGCUGGGCCAUAACUGACGCUCAUGGACGAAAGCUAGGGGAGCGAAAGGGAUUAGAUACCCCUGUAGUCCUAGCCGUAAACGAUGAACACUAGGUGUCGGGGAAUCGACCCCUCGGUGUCGUAGCUAACGCGUUAAGUGUUCCGCCUGGGGAGUACGCACGCAAGUGUGGAACUCAAAGGAAUUGACGG